GACAGAGGUGCCGAGCGUUAGGCGGAAUCACUGGGCUUAAAGCGUGUGUAGGCGGGUCGUUAAGUGUCUUGUGAAAUCCCACCGCUCAACGGUGGAACUGCUGGGCAUACUGGCGAUCUUGAGCCACCUAGGGGCAGACGGAACAAGCGGUGGAGCGGUGAAAUGCGUAGAUAUCACUUGGAACGCCGACGGUGAAAACAGUCUGCUGGGGGUGUGCUGACGCUGAGACACGAAAGCCAGGGGAGCGAACGGG
rnacentral:rRNA from 1 species